GAUAAUGAUUUUUAAACAACUACAACAAUAUGAAUUUGUCAGUUGUAAAACAAAUUUAUAUACCUCAAUGAAAAAAAUACCCAAAAAGAAAAAGGAAAAAAGAUGUAAUUAUUAGCAUUGCUAUUGACACAAAUGUAAUAUGUGGGAUAUUGUCAGAAAUCUUAAUUAACGUAAUCCGUAAUUACAUAAAUCUUAAUUGAAAUCAUUCUCAAAAUAAUCAUAAUUAAAAUACUUAAAAAAAAAAAGAAAAAAAAA